rnacentral:rRNA from 1 species
CUGAUGCAGCCAUGCCGCGUGUGUGAAGAAGGCCUUCGGGUUGUAAAGCACUUUCAGUCGUGAGGAAAGGUUAGUAGUUAAUACCUGCUAGCUGUGACGUUACUGACAGAAGAAGCACCGGCUAACUCCGUGCCAGCAGCCGCGGUAAU